rnacentral:tRNA from 1 species
UGGCUCAGACAGUAAAGCGUCUGCCUGGAAUGCGGAAGACCCAGGUUUGAUCCCUGG